rnacentral:tRNA from 1 species
UACAUCGGCCGGGAAUCGAACCUGGGCCGCCCGCGUGGCAGGUGAGCAUUCUACAACUGAACCACCGAUGC